AAGGAUGGAAGGUGGAGACCACAUAGAGACUGAGGACCUAUGCCAGCUCUAAGUUAGCUCCCUGAGACUGGAGUGAAGACUUUCUGCCCAUCUGUUUGCCUUGAUUAGUAUACUUAUUAGACCCAACCAUCACAUACAACAAAACAUAACUAAUAUGUGUUAGGUACAGAGACACCCUCAGCCGAAGCCACUAAGUUGUUGCUGAGGCUUAGUUGUUGAGACUGGAAGUGAUUUGAAAAGUCUUCAAAUGGCCAUUUGUGAGAGUGUUCUACUUAGGUAGCAAGUUGCCAUUGCCACCACAGAAAUAACCUCUACUGAACUUCCUAUUGGGUCUCAAAUCUGAAUUGGAAAUUGUCCACUCACCCAUAAAUGGGUUUAUCAUGAAGUGAUCGAAGCUUAAGCUUCAGGGUCCACCAUCUGUCAGGCUGCUUACAAGAUCCCAGCAAUACGGUUGUUAUAAAUUCAGAGAGCACUUUACACAGUCCCUGCCAAGAAAACUUGAAUUGCCCUAAAAUCGUAUAGAUAAUUAAUGCUAAAAACUUGACAUUUUCCAAAUUUGACAAUAGUCUUAUAAAUGACUUUGGGAGUAGUGAGAUGUGAAACUGAAAGAAACUUUUCUAAUCUGUCAGUAAUGAAAAAAAUUUAAUCAGCUAUUCUAGAGGAAAGAUGAAUUAUCUUUUAAUUCCCUCUAUAGGAAAUAUUACAAAAUCAUUAUCACUUAAAGAUGUUAACAGAGGAUAUACAAACAAAACAAAACAAAAAAACAACAACCAUAGAUUAUGUCAUCAAAUUAGUAAAGCUUAUUUUUCUGGAUUCGGGGAUCUUUGUGGUAUUUGUCAGCUUUUCAAAAUUUGUAAUUAGUUGUAAUUUCUUUUCUCAUUCUAUAUGAAUAUUCAUUAUUAAACCUAGCUCUUUUUUU